UAUUUUUAGUUGUACUCUUUUCUUAUACUCAUUAGUCGCCAUCAUCAUUGUGAGUGAAUAUAAGUGAAUUAGUCUCUAUUAAUUUUGAUUGCUGUUAAACUAUAGGUACUUUUACUAUAUAUGUUGUAUUAUUUCAUUACCCAAGAUAGGUGCUACAAUUGAGUAAAUACCCAUAGUCGUCCCUGAGAUUCACGCAAAUACCCAUAAUAAUCCUUAAGAUCCCGAUUUUCCUAUUGUAGUCUUUCAGAUAGAGCUCUGAGCACUCAAACUGGUCAUUGGCCAUAUUUCAGGUGAUGACUCAUCACCGGAGCGCUGACGUGGACUCGGAUUGCCACGUGGGAGGAGUCCAAAACGUCGUCGUUUUGGGUUUGGCGCCCUAGAAAGCCAAAAACGACGCCGUACACAAACACUUCACUUCACUCGUCUCUUCUUCGUCCACCAUCUGACUUCUUCUUCAUCUCCCCAUCAAUGGCGUAGCCAUAGGGUUGUAUUCGCUGGGUUUAGGAAAAUUUGAGAGAAGAAGUAAUCCGACCAGAAGUUGUUAUCGUUCUUCCCCUCCUUCACCAUAAGCACAAGGUUCUGACUUUGUGAUCAGACUCAAGAUGGAAGAGAAGUUGGACAUCAUGUUUCAUCAUGGGGUGAUUUCAAAAAAAAUGAAGAAAGGAUUAUGGUAUAUCCUCCGACAACAAAGCUUAUUUAGGUGAUCUAGACCCAUCGGCAUAACAGUGAACAGAAACUAAAAUCAUAAUCCAAUCCCCAAGAGAUUUCAGUGCAGGGAGGCACUUAAAGGUGCAAGCAUUCUGUUGCAGCCAAGGGCACUAAAGAGUAGCACAAAAUGCACGUUAUCUCAGGAUUUUGCUCCUUCAUUUUACCAAAACCUCUAUGAACACUUAAUGAAAAUUGCUUUAGGUUCACCUAGUGCUUUUCAAAUACAUCAUAAAGUUGUUCCAUAAAGAAGUAUAUGUCUUGCCAUGCAGGCAAUUGCCACUGUGAUUUCUGGUGGAUCUGGCUGCAUUCUUGUAUGCCAGCUUAACUGAAUUGUAGUUUUAUGUUUUAUUUUUAUUUUUUGGUGGAAAGUGCUAAGAGGUUGACAUUUUUGCCACACAUGCAGAUAGCCUUGUUUGUCUCUUCCUUUGAUGUUGUGAGGUCAGGUUGGCUUCUAAAUUUUUUGAAAGACAUUAGUGCUACUCGUAUAAAAAAAUGCAACAAAAUCUUUCCAAGGUUUGUGUUCUGGGUUAUGUACAGUCUUUUGCUGCUGAAACCUUGCAAAAAAUUUCUGAUAAAACCAAUGCCAAUGGUAAGUUUAAGCAUAAUUUAUGUCCCGUGCAAUAUAACCACUAAUCACCCUGCAUAUUUGUUAUUUUUCUAAAAUUGAUAUUUAGUUCAUUGUCUUGCUUUCCUAUUUGGCAUUAAUUGCUUUUAUUUUGUUUUCCAGUACUCAAGGCAUUUCUUGUAUUCUAGUCCAGCUCAACCAUUAGGUCCUGAAGACUUGGUUUAGAGAAUGGUUUGUUACUUUCUGUUUUGUCAUUUUCCGAUAUGCUUGACCUUCAGUAUUCUUAGACUGCUUUUUUUAGGAAUUGAAUGGCAUUGUUCUCCUUUAACUAUGGCAUUGUUCUGUUUAUGAUGAUGCUACAGAUGGCUGGGAAGGUGGUGAACAUCAAGCUUCAUUUCCGAAGAUCACAACGUGUAGUUCAAGGGUCUAGAAAUGUUUGCACUUGUGAAUGUAGACCUGGCAACGUCACUAAUACCAUUCCAAUUGUCU